AAAAAAAGGAACAAAAAAAAUAAAUAAAAGGACUGCAGAAGCAAAAGAAAAGGGGGAAAAAAAGGGGGUGAGGAAAGGGAGAGAGCAUACUUACUCCGUGCAAAGGCGACGAAACUGAGCCUCUUUUUUUUUUGCCGCUGGACAGAGCGAGGCGGCCCGGCACAUGCACACCGCACGCGCACACACACACACACACGCACACACUCACUCGCACACACGCACAGACACACGCGCGCGCACACACACGCGCGCACGCACGCGCGGCCGCUGAAUAUUGACGCCGGGAUCCGCGUAAAGGUGAAGCCGGGCGGUGCCGAUAGUACAUACACAGCAGCCCCUGACAGCGCCUUGUCACUUGCGCGGCUCAGCGUCGCUUCGAGCGCUGUCGAGGAAACGCAGUCACCCAAUGAGGAGCGAAGGGAAACUGAGGCACGGGCUGUCCCGGGGGCACGCAGCCCCCCCGGCCCCACCUCGCUCUGCAGGUGCCGUCCUCCCGCCCCGCACCCCGCUCACGUCCCAGCACGGCGGUUCGUAGUGUAACCCCGCCGCUGCCUGAAUGGUGAGCGCUCGGGAUUCUACCUCCUCCCGCCCCCAGUUGGUUCACAGUGAUAAAGUUUGGAUCCAAAGGCGCGCUCAGGUGUGGGGGCUCUGCUCCUGCCCUCGCUUUGCUGCUUGGUCACAAAGUUCAGCCGUGGGGCUGUGCUCAGCUGCGAGCUUCGGCCCCUCAGAAAUAAAUCCUUCUCCAAAUUCUGGUGCCUGUGACGAGGAAAUGAGCGCUGCGAGCUGACAGCUCUCU
ensembl:lncRNA